rnacentral:ncRNA from 1 species
GCGCCCUGCCACGUGAUCGUCUUCUCACCCUUCACGCAGGCAGGCGGCACAAGGAAGCCCCCGCGAGGACAUGCUCGCGGGGGCUUCCG